GACGAACGCUGGCGGCGUGCUUAACACAUGCAAGUCGAACGAUGAAGCGCGUGCUUGCACUCGUGGAUUAGUGGCGAACGGGCGAGUAACACGUGAGUAACCUGUCCUUUUCUUUGGGAUAACUGCUGGAAACGGCUGCUAAUACCGGAUAUUCAGGCCGCAUCGCAUGUUGUGGUUGGGAAAGGUCUUUUGUGGGGUUGGGUGGGGUCGCGGCCUAUCAGGUUGUUGGUGGGGUGAUGGCUUACCAAGGUUUUGACGGGUGGCCGGCCUGAGAGGCUGGUCGGGCGGACUAGGACUGAGAUUGGGCCCAGGAUGCUGCGGGAGGCAGCAGUGGAGAAAACUGUAGAAUGGACUAAAGAAUGGUGCAGCGACUGAUCGAGGAGGGUGUUGUGCGUGGUGUUGGGAACUGGGUUGUAACGCGAAUACGGCUGUGUUGUGGCGGUGUUGACGGUAGUGGGUAAAGAAGCGCCGGCUAACUACGUG
rnacentral:rRNA from 1 species